GCUGGAGAUGUGACUGGGCUCGGGACAUGAGCCCGCUUGUUCGCUCACUCUCAGUGAAAAGAGUUUUGAAAUGAGUUCUGAAUAGACAGCAUUUUCUUUGUGCGGUUGGUAAAUAACACAGAGCAAAGUUAGCAAGUUGCAGCGCCUCUGCGUUCUGAUUCUAUGGAACCUUUUUGUAGGGAGAAGGGCAGGAUGUUUUUAACUGAAUGUGACCUCACGGGAAUACUAGAGAAAAUAAUAAAAUUUCUGAAUGGGGCAGCGUGGAGAAAUCCUAAGAGAAAUAGCAUAAGAGCAUUUUGGAACACAUCCAGGAAAAGAUAACUUUCGACACACCUGUAGACGUUCGCCAGGUAAAGGAGUGAUGGAAACUCUCCAGUUCAGAUCCAGUAGCUUUUAGGGAAGGUAAGUAAAAGCUAUUUAAAAAUAAACUUUUCCCCCAAAGAAAAAGAAUCUCCAACUUUUCAACAUCCAUCAAAAACCUGAGAAGUUAAGGAACUUCAUUUUAGAGGACCAGAAAAGAUGCUUGCUUUGGUUAUUGUUGGCAUCCUCAUGGUAAUUUGGGUUAUGUUCAUAUAGAUUUUUGAGGAGUGUUUACACCUGUUCAUCCUGAUUCAUGACUUCAUAUGUCUGAUAUUAGGGGCAUUAAUAUGUAAGACAUUCAGAAUUAACAUGUAUGAUUUUAAAAUGUGGUAGACAGGAUAAAGUACCCCUCCCCAAAAUAUCCAUGAAAUCUCUGAAAUCUGUGAUUGUGUUAUCUUGCAUGACAAAAGGGAUGUGAUUUAAUGAAGACCUUUGAGAUUAUCCUAUUUAUCUAAAAAAGGCCAACUAAUCACAUGGUCCUUCAGAAAAAGGCCAAAGAAUGAGUUAGGGAGAUUAGAUGUGAGUAGGACUCAACAUUACCCACCAUUGCUGGUGUUGAAAAUGGAGGAAGCAGGCCAUUCACAGAAAAAGGAGUGGGCUGUGGAAGCUGGGAAUGGCUCUCAGUUUACAACCUGCAAGAAAACAGGGACCUCAGUCCUAUGACAGCAAGGAACUGGAUUCCACCAACAGCCCAAUGAGUGAGGAAAUACAUUCUCCCUUGGAGCCUCCAGAAUGGAAUGUAGCUUAACUUGGUUUUAGUCUGGUGAGACCAUACCAGACUUUGGACCUCCAAAACUGUAAGACCUUUGUGCCUUUUUAAGCCAUCAAAUUUGUAAACAUUUGUUACGGCAGCAAUAGAAAACUAAUACAUAGAAUAAGCCCACCAAUAGAUGAGACAUAUUUUGCAGCUGGCAGUCUAAAUCCUAUGAGUAAAUUCCUGUAUUUGAAUAAAGAGAAAAUGUUCUUGAGAGGCUAAGAUUGAUAGUCUGUAAGAAUUGGAAUAUUGAUUUUGUUGAUCCAAAUGAUAGUUAUUGCCAACUCAGAGAGUUCUGUUUUCUACUUUGUGACACCCCUUCUUCAUCAGAAAUUCUUUAUAUGAUAUAUUCGUACAUGCAAUACCUGUGUCACUCAAGGUACAAAUGAGUACAUGCUUUAUUGGACU